rnacentral:rRNA from 1 species
UACAGAGGGGGCAAGCGUUGUUCGGAAUUACUGGGCGUAAAGGGCGCGUAGGCGGCCUGUUAAGUCGAACGUGAAAUCCCCGGGCUCAACCCGGGAACUGCGUCCGAUACUGGCAGGCUUGAAUCCGGGAGAGGGAUGUGGAAUUCCAGGUGUAGCGGUGAAAUGCGUAGAUAUCGGGAGGAACCCCUGCGGGGUAGACGGCUUACUGGACCGCCACUGACGCUGAGGCACGAAAGCGUGGGUAGCAAACAGG